CACGUAGGGUGCGAGCGUUGUCCGGAAUUAUUGGGCGUAAAGAGCUCGUAGGCGGUCCGUCACGUCGGAUGUGAAAUUCCAGGGCUCAACCCUGGACCUGCAUUCGAUACGGGCGGACUAGAGUUCGGUAGGGGAGACUGGAAUUCCUGGUGUAGCGGUGAAAUGCGCAGAUAUCAGGAGGAACACCGGUGGCGAAGGCGGCCCCCUGGUUGGAUACUGACGCUGAGACGCGAAAGCGUGGGGAGCAAACAGG
rnacentral:rRNA from 1 species